CGUGGUCCUGUUGCAUGUCCUUCACAUGCACCUGUGAAGGAGAUUUGGGCUCACACCGUGUCUGUGUAGCAGACCUCUGUCUCACAGAUUUAUAGAAAAGAAUGGACCCGGGUUCCUUGGAGAAGUGAGUCCAGGUCCAGGGCAAGGACAAUACAAGAUACAGACUCUUGGGGAAGACCCACUGGGAACCUGAUGGAGAUGGAAAUGAUGGAAAGAGACUGAGAAACGGCUCCUACUGCUCCACCCUAUUGCAGCCCUCCCUCCCUGAGCAAGAAAGAUUUUUCCUGUAUGCAAACCAAACCUCAAGUCAGAAAUCAUUUCCCAAAGAAGUCUUCUGGGUCCACGUUUCAAGUCAAGUCCUGUUGAUACCAGCUCUCAGAGAACCAGAUCUCUCUCCUUUGGAUCACUUAUGCGGAAGAAGUAUGCCAGUUUUCCUCUGGGGAACUGGAUUACCUAUUCCCUGCCCAAGUGUCCAGGAGAGACUUCACAGCACGAAAACUGUUACCCUGAUUUCCCAGAGCGUGGUGUUUGAUUUGUGGAAAGACACCUGACCUAAGUGGGCCGAUCAGAGAGCUGAGGCAGUCUGUGUCCAGUGAGGAACACCUGAGUUUAACACAAAGGGAGUGAACUUGGGUACGUGAUGUCAAUGAACCACUCAACCAACCCUGGACUGUCCUACCUCUGAGGAACAUGAAUGUUACCUAAGAUUCGGUUUGCUAACGUGGCACCUUGGGCAGGAGUGGCUCCAUCUUGGGCCUGGAAAGUUAUUUCAACACUGUAUCUUAGAUUUUCAGCAGCUUGACUGAUAU